rnacentral:misc_RNA from 1 species
UGCUUCGGGCAGCGACGGCGCGCCUCUCCCGCGAGUCAUCAGUUUCGGCGCGGCCUCGGCCGAGACCCGGUUGGUUUCCUGUGCUGCGUACCCGCGCGAAGGGCAUCCUUCUCUCGUCCCAACCGUCCCUCCGUUCGUCCGCUGCUCCCCCUUCGGGGCGGGGCACGCGACGGAACUCGUAGCCCGGUCCGUUACCCGCGUCGCCUCCGGCUGUCGCGGUGAGCGGGCAAGUGCCCGAACUCUCGGAUGCGGAAAGCACCGGGGGGCGCCGACGACGCGCGUCGUCCUCGCGCCCGAGCACAUCGACCCAGCGGACGACCGUCUCUCCCGUCGCGGCCCGGCCGCGCGGGAAGGACGUCGCCGAGGAAUGCUACCUGGUUGAUCCUGCCAGU